rfam:Solanum lycopersicum cultivar Heinz 1706 chromosome 10, whole genome shotgun sequence.
AUAAGUAUAUGAUGAAAUUAUAAAAUCUUAGGACACCUUCUGACACAGUACGCCAAAUGCUGUGUAUGAGAAAAGAUUUUAUUUUUUCUGAUACUUUA